rnacentral:misc_RNA from 1 species
GAUGAAGAACGUAGCGAAAUGCGAUAAGUAAUGUGAAUUGCAGAAUUCAGUGAAUCAUCGAAUCUUUGAACGCACCUUGCGCCCUUUGGCCAUUCCGAAGGGCAUGCCUGUUUGAGUAUCAUGAACACCUCAUCUCUUUAUGGUUUUCCAUGAUGAGCUUGGACUCUGGGGGUUUUGCUGGCUCACAGUCGGCUCCUCUAAAAUGAAUCAGCUUACCAGUGUUUGGUGGGUAUCAUGGGUGUGAUAACUAUCUACGCUUGUGGUUUUUCCACCAGGUAACCCUCAGCAGUGGAGGUUCGCUGGAGCUCAUAGAUGUCUCUCCUCAGUGAGGACAGCCCUUUGAAUGUUUGAUCUCAAAUCAGGUAGGACUACCCGCUGAACUUAAGCAUAUCAAUAAGCGGAGGA